UGAAACUGCGAAUGGCUCAUUAAAACAGUUAUAGUUUAUUUGAUAAUUGAAUUCUACAUGGAUAACCGUGGUAAUUCUAGGGCUAAUACAUGCUGUAAAACCUGACUUUUCGGAAAGGUUGUAUUUAUUAGAUAUCAAACCGGUAUUCCUUCGGGUCUAUUGUGAUGAUUCAUAGUAACUGAGCGGAGCGGGGCUGUGCCCCGCCGGAUCAUUCAAGUUUCUGCCCUAUCAGCUUUCGAUGGUAGUAUAUUGGACUACCAUGGCAGUCACGGGUAACGGGGAAUUAGGGUUCGGUUCCGGAGAGGCAGCCUGAGAAACGGCUACCACAUCUAAGGAAGGCAGCAGGCGCGUAAAUUACCCAAUCCUGAUACAGGGAGGUAGUGACAAGAAAUAACA
rnacentral:rRNA from 1 species